rnacentral:rRNA from 1 species
UGGGGAAUCAUGCACAAUGGGGGCAACCCUGAUGCAGCGACGCCGCGUGAGCGAUGAAGCCCUUCGGGGCGUAAAGCUCUUUCGGCCGGAACGAUAAUGACGGUACCGGGAGAAGAAGCUGCGGCUAACUACGUGCCAGCAGCCGCGGUAAUACGUAGGCAGCAAGCGUUGUUCGGAGUUACUGGGCGUAAAGAGUGCGUAGGCGGUUUUCUAAGUUCGGUGUGAAAUCUCCCGGCUUAACUGGGAGGGUGCGCCGAAGACUGGGAUGCUGGAGUGUGUGAAAGGCAGGCGGAAUUCCUGGUGUAGCGGUGAAAUGCGUAGAUAUCAGGAGGAACACCGGCGGUGUAGACGGCUUGCUAGACCAUAACUGACGCUGAGGCACGAAAGCGUGGGUAGCAAACA